UUUUUUUCUUUUCGUGUACAAACGCGUACUUUACUCUUUUAUUCUAUUUGAAUCUCCAUUGGAAGGCAUCUGACAUUCUUAGUGAGCGUAAAAUCAAUAGAAAUUUACAAACAAGUUGGAGGUAAAGGAUUCAGUGUUAUUACCAACAUCAGUAUUCCGGUUGUCCACGCUGUUCUGAAAAUGAUUCUAUAAACUUAAUUAUACUGAAAAUCAAGCUCUCAAUGACUUAACUUACUGAUAAUUGAUAUAGGAGAAAGAUUAAAUGUGAGUUUACAGCAAUGCAACAGCAACCAAACGACACAAACC
rnacentral:lncRNA from 1 species